GGUUCUAUGGCGCAAUUGGUUAGCGCGUCUGGCUGUUACUUCCUAGGGCGACCUAGGUGUAGCAAGUACCGGGAGGUUGAAAGUUCGAGUCUUUCUAGUACCG